AACGAACGCUGGCGGCAGGCCUAACACAUGCAAGUCGAACGCCCCGCAAGGGGAGUGGCAGACGGGUGAGUAACGCGUGGGAACCUACCUAGUGGUACGGAACAACUCGGGGAAACUUGAGCUAAUACCGUAUACGCCCUCAGGGGGAAAGAUUUAUCGCCAUUAGAUGGGCCCGCGUCGGAUUAGCUUGUUGGUGAGGUAAUGGCUCACCAAGGCGACGAUCCGUAGCUGGUCUGAGAGGAUGAUCAGCCACACUGGGACUGAGACACGGCCCAGACUCCUACGGGAGGCAGCAGUGAGGAAUAUUGGACAAUGGGCGCAAGCCUGAUCCAGCCAUGCCGCGUGAGUGAAGAAGGCCUUAGGGUUGUAAAGCUCUUUCGACGGGGAAGAUAAUGACGGUACCCGUAGAAGAAGCCCCGGCUAACUUCGUGCCAGCCGCCGCGGUAAGAC
rnacentral:rRNA from 1 species